ACUGCUUCCCUGCUCAUUCAAUUGGUUGUUAGCAAGACUUCGAGUCAGAGAGAAAAUGGAAAUUGGCUCAAGCAAAGAGGGUUGCUUUAAGAGCAAGCAGGGGCACCAUAGACUAGGCUACUAGGGGAGAAAGGAAAAUGAAGGAAGAGGAGCAGCGAUUAAGAAAAGUUGCACUCAAUAUCUCAAAGGGCGUGAAGAAAUUCUGGAUGAAAAUAGAAAAACUGUCCACUUUGUUCAAAUAGUUAUCUAAUUUCUUCAAAUAACUCAAGGCACUUGAUAAGCAACUUGAGUUUCUUUUGGGCCAAACCAAGAGGUACUCAACAAUGUUAGCAGAAAGUCUUGUUGAUACACAUAAA